rnacentral:rRNA from 1 species
CGGACGGGUGAGUAAUGUCUGGGAAACUGCCUGAUGGAGGGGGAUAACUACUGGAAACGGUAGCUAAUACCGCAUAACGUCGCAAGACCAAAGAGGGGGACCUUCGGGCCUCUUGCCACCAGAUGUGCCCAGAUGGGAUUAGCUAGUAGGUGGGGUAACGGCUCACCUAGGCGACGAUCCCUAGCUGGUCUGAGAGGAUGACCAGCCACACUGGAACUGAGACACGGUCCAGACUCCUACGGGAGGCAGCAUG